AGCAGCCGCGGUAAUUCCAGCUCCAAUAGCGUAUAUUAAAGUUGUUGCAGUUAAAAAGCUCGUAGUUGAAUUUCAGGCCUGGCUGGACGGUCCGCCCUUCGGGUGAGUACUGUCUGUGGUCGGGUCCUACCUUCUGGCGAAGCGUCAUGGCCUUAACCGGCUGUGGCGGGGAACCAGGACUUUUACUGUGAAAAAAAUUAGAGUGUUCAAAGCAGGCAAUCGCUUGGAUACAUUAGCAUGGAAUAAUGGUAUAGGACAAUGGUUCUAUUUGUUGGUUUCUAGGACCGUUGUAAUGAUUAAUAGGGAUAGUUGGGGGCAUUAGUAUUCAAUUGUCAGAGGUAAAAUUCUUGGAUUUAUUGAAGACUAACUACUGCGAAAGCAUUUGCCAAGGAUGUUUUCAUUAAUCAAGAACGAAAGUUAGGGGAUCGAAGACGAUCAGAUACCGUCGUAGUCUUAACCAUAAACUAUGCCGACUAGGAAUCGGGCGAUGUUUGAAAAAAUAGACGCGCUCGGCACCUCA
rnacentral:rRNA from 1 species